AAAUAAAAGUGAAAUUUUUAUGGCACUUUUAAAACAAUCCAUAUCCACCUUGUGUGCAAUGUUUUUUGAAAAAGAAGUUUCUUCAUGGAGCUUUUUUUUUCUUCUAACUAUUAUAAACUCAUUUUUAUAAAGAAAUCUAGUCUGAUAAUUAUUAUUAUUGAAUACUUAAUUCAUAAAUA
rnacentral:misc_RNA from 1 species